GCGGGAGUGGCGGAACUGGCAGACGCGCCAGACUUAGGAUCUGGUGCCGCAAGGCAUGGGGGUUCAAGUCCCUUCUCCCGCACCG
rnacentral:tRNA from 1 species